UACAGAGGGGGCAAGCGUUGUUCGGAAUUACUGGGCGUAAAGGGCGCGUAGGCGGCCUGCUAAGUCGAACGUGAAAUCCCCGGGCUCAACCCGGGAACUGCGUCCGAUACUGGUUGGCUUGAAUCCGGGAGAGGGAUGUGGAAUUCCAGGUGUAGCGGUGAAAUGCGUAGAUAUCUGGAGGAACACCGGUGGCGAAGGCGACAUCCUGGACCGGUAUUGACGCUGAGGCGCGAAAGCCAGGGGAGCAAACGGG
rnacentral:rRNA from 1 species